ensembl:piRNA 21ur-13025 ncRNA
UUAUUUAUAUGAUUUUUGCCA